rnacentral:lncRNA from 1 species
GGCGUGGCCUCCCCAAACGCUGGGGAGGGGCUGGGACGACCCCCCGCCCUGUGUCAAGAGGCAGAGCUUGCUGGAAAGCGCUGGGCCAGCAGCACCCCCUGGACUCCGGCUCCCCUGGACCUCCCGUGAGGAAAUAAACUGAGGGGUGGCACCCACGUGGGUCCCCUCCAGUUGUCCUGCCGUGACCGCUAUUAAAGACCCCCGGCAGGACGGGAGCCUCAGGCCCCGGGGGGCCGAGCGGAGGCUGCAGACAGUCAAGUUUGAGGUGGAGCCAAAGAACUACCCAUCUCUCUGCACCUACUUGAGCCUCUGGAAUCUUAACCUGCAAAGAGGCGGAGAGCAAAGAGACGAGCAGGAGAGAAACCAUGGCUGAUCGUUUGCCCGUAAUGCCCUCAGCCCCUUCUCACUGCUGUCAGCAUUGACCACGUCCACCGGCCACGGCCCUCCCGGCCUGCGCUGACCCUCGCCCGCGCCCUGGCAGCCACUGGCCGGUGAUAUCAACAGUUCUCCAGGCUGCCCAACGAGCCACCGCAAAUUCCGCC